GCCAGACUCCUACGGGAGGCAGCAGUGGGGAAUAUUGCACAAUGGGGGAAACCCUGAUGCAGCGACGCCGCGUGAGUGAAGAAGUAUUUCGGUAUGUAAAGCUCUAUCAGCAGGGAAGAAAAUGACGGUACCUGACUAAGAAGCCCCGGCUAACUACGUGCCAGCAGCCGCGGUAAUACGUAGGGGGCAAGCGUUAUCCGGAUUUACUGGGUGUAAAGGGAGCGUAGACGGUGAUGCAAGUCAGAAGUGAAAGCCCGGGGCUCAACUCCGGGACUGCUUUUGAAACUGUGUAACUGGAGUGCAGGAGAGGUAAGCGGAAUUCCUAGUGUAGCGGUGAAAUGCGUAGAUAUUAGGAGGAACACCAGUGGCGAAGGCGGCCUGCUGGACGGUGACUGACGCUGAGGCUCGAAAGCGUGGGGAGCAAACAGGAUUAGAUACCCCGGUA
rnacentral:rRNA from 1 species